UCAAGUUUUUAUAUACAAUGUCCACGACCAUUUGACCAUUUUACUAUUUGAUUGAUUUUCUCUAAGGGUAAGUGAAACUUCAGCAUACUAAAACCUAAACCUUAAACCCUAUAUUAUUACACAUAAUUUUUUUCAUCCUUUUAUAAUCAUACACAUGAUUUUUAUAUCAAUUCACAACUUUAGAUAUGAAAGAUAAUCGUCAAUACAAAGUCUCUGUUUGCAACUAUUGUGUUUGAAGUUGCAUCGUAACCACCGCGUCAUAGUCACCGCAUCGUAGCCACCGCAUCUCAACCACGGUAUCGCAUCCAUUGCAAAUCGACUUACUUUAACUCCUUGUUCGCUACUAAAUGGACACAAAAUCUUCGUCAACAAUCUUGAUUCAAAACCUGCAAGCCAAUCAAUCCGACCAUGAAACUUCAACUUUUAAAAGUCGUGACUCUCAACAAUUCACGUAGAUGUUCCAGUUGAGAUGGACGACUUUGCUUCGUACAUGUGUUCGCUGCUAAAUGGACACAAGAAAGUUCUAAAUAACUGAUCUAAUCUCACCAAAUUCACUUUUUGACUCUUCAUCAAAUCAACGAGCAUUACUUGAUUGUUUCGUUCACAAAUGGACUGAUUCAUUUAGUUAGACACAUUUGGACCCAAAAAGAUUGAAUUUGAAUUGAAACUACAACAGCAAAACACCCAAAAACCACAAAAUUUCACAUUACUCAUUCUACCAAACUCUAGUUUAGAAAAGAAAACAAUGAAUUAAGGUUCCAAAAGAAUUAUAUCGAAAAUUAAGAGAGAGAAAUAUAGUUAUAUGAAUCUGGAGAUGGAUUGCUCAUGAGAAGGGAGACAUAUGGGAUUAGGGCCUCUAUCCACGUCUGAUUUCAAAGAUCAAAUCGAUGAAAGACUAGUAGAUAAACACACACACGACCACAAGUUCAACAAUCAGAAACAGCCCCGGCUCAAUAUAUUUGAGAGCCUUAGGGCAAAAAAAUUUUUUUUGGCCUAUUAUUAUAUACAAAGAGAAAAUUUACUUAAUUUUUAAAAAUUUUGCGGAGUUUUUAUAGUAAAAAUUGUUAUUUUAAAAAUUUUGGGCCUUUUUAUACAUUUUCUUAUAAAUAAUUAGGCCUCUUAAAAUAUAAUUCUCAUAUUAAUAAUAUUUUAAAAAAAUAUUUGGGCCUUUUUAUAUGUAAAAUUUUUUUAUAAAAAAAAAAGCUCCGGGCCGUCGCACUUCCGCCCUACCCAUCUGAGCCGGGGCUGAUCAGAAAGACCAAAUUUAGAGGAAGUGGAGAAUUUUCUUUUUUUCCUUUCUUGGAUGUAAAAAACACAGUUAAAAAAAGAAAAGCGAAUCUGAAAUUAAAUUGAUGGAUUAGAAUUUGGAAAGAAAGAGAAAAGGGAAGAGAGGGAUAAAGAAUGAGAGGAUACGGGGAGAGAGAAACAAAAGAAAUGAAUGUGAGAAGAGAGGAUGAAGAAUAUUAGAGUAAAGAAUAUGAUUAGAGGGUAAAAGAGUAAAAGACUCCAAAAGAAAGUGGGUUGAUAUCACAAAGUGUCUCAUAUUGAAAACACUUUUGAAAAAGUGUGUUUGAAGGUAAAUAACUCUUGUAAUUAUUAUUGUAGAUUGGUGGCAAAUGAACCGUUGGACCAUACGCAGAACUUUAAUAGACUAAUAGUGGUAAUGGUAUUGAUUAUAUACAUUUGAUUUAAGAAAACAAACUAAUUAACUAUAAAGUUGUGCAUUUAUCGAUACACUCAUUACCAAUUUACCAUAAUGUACUACUUUUGUAUAGUAUGUUCUAUCUACUCUGCUCCAAAUCCUGUCACAAUUUUCAACAUUUAAUCAUUCUACAUUCGUUUUUUUUUUCCCCCAAAUCAUUCGUUUAAGAACCUAAAGAUAGCCCUAUGCAACCUUGUAUUUCGCUCGUCAGAGGUUGGCCGUGUUCGGAGGAGAGUCGCCAGCGAUCAUCUCAGCGACAGAUCAAAACGACGGUGGCGGCGGCCAUCAAUAAAGCAAAACGACGACAGGUGCGGCAAAAGGUUGAUGACGGAGGUGUCGCUGGGGAGAGAAAAAUGUGUCGCCGAGAGACAGAGUAGUCGCUGGAAUUUCAAGCCACAGGUGCGGCAACUCAUUCAACACUAACGGCGACUCUUUUUAACAGGGGCAGCGACUCUUUUCUUUUGUACAGUUACCGGGUUACGUCUCUGUCGGUGUCUAUUUUCUUGUCGCAAUCGCUCAUUGAGCGACUCCAAAAAAGAACAGGGCCUUGUCUAUUGGGCUUGGUGCAGUUAUUCUUUAAUGGGCUAUUUUUCUAGAUCGUUUGUUAAAAAGCCACACCAUUUUCCCCCCUUGUUUCGUAAACCAAGUUGAUUUCUAAUCUUAUCACAUCUAUAAAUUUCUUCGUAGGUAAUUUAACUCAAGCAAUAAAC
rnacentral:lncRNA from 1 species